rnacentral:lncRNA from 1 species
GUCAACUCAUGUGUUCUUGUGUAGCAAUCGUGUUCUUGAGAGAUCAUGCUGCAGUUCCCCUGCCAUGCCCAGAAGACACUGUCUUGAAGCAGAUGUUCAUUCAGGAAAAGUAUGGAUUUUACCUUGGAGCAAAUCAUUUCCCCUGUUUCCUGAGCCUGAAUUUGAUCCUGAUCCUGGCCUAGCCCAUGGACUUUCCAGGCUGGUGGGAAGGAAGGGCCUUAGAGGAUCAAAAGGGGUUAUAUGGCAGCUGCCACUUCAUCCUGCACUCAGGAGGAAGAUACAUGAAAGCCACUUCUUACUCCUCCUAAACGCUCUAUCCUACUCUAAGAGGGCAGUGAUGCCUGGCUCUGCAGGCAUUUUGAGAUCACAAGCUGUGCACUCACAGAGAAGAGCAG